GCCUGGUUGGUUCAAUCAGUGGAGUGUGUGACUCUUGAUCAUGGGUUGUGGGUUCGAGUCCUACGUUUGGUG
rnacentral:tRNA from 1 species